GGCUCAGGAUGAACGCUGGCGGCGUGCCUAAUACAUGCAAGCCGAACGGCUUUCUAUGGAAGCUUGCUUCCACUGAGAAGAUAGUGGCGAACGGGUGAGUAACACGUGGGUAACCUGCCCAUAAGAGGGGGGAUAACAUCCGGAAACGGGUGCUAAUACCGCAUAGUUUUCUUGAUCGCAUGAUCGGGAAAGGAAAGACGGCCUUUGUGCUGUCGCUUAUGGAUGGACCCGCGGCGUAUUAGUUAGUUGGUGAGGUAACGGCUCACCAAGACGAUGAUACGUAGCCGACCUGAGAGGGUGAUCGGCCACAUUGGGACUGAGACACGGCCCAAACUCCUACGGGAGGCAGCAGUAGGGAAUCUUCCGCAAUGGACGAAAGUCUGACGGAGCAACGCCGCGUGAGUGAGGAAAGGUUUUCGGAUCGUAAAACUCUGUUGUCAGAGAAGAACAAGUUGGAGAGUAACUGCUCCAGCCUUGACGGUAUCUGACCAGAAAGUCACGGCUAACUACGUGCCAGCCGCUGC
rnacentral:rRNA from 1 species